rnacentral:rRNA from 1 species
GACGAACGCUGGCGGCGUGCUUAACACAUGCAAGUCGAACGGAAAGGCUCCAGCUUGCUGGAGUACUCGAGUGGCGAACGGGUGAGUAACACGUGGGUAAUCUGCCCUGCACUCUGGGAUAAGCCUGGGAAACUGGGUCUAAUACUGGAUAUGACCUUUCUCCUUAUGGGGUUUGGUGGAAAGUUUUUCGGUGUAGGAUGAGCCCGCGGCUUAUCAGCUUGUUGGUGGGGUGAUGGCCUACCAAGGCGACGACGGGUAGCCGGCCUGAGAGGGUGAUCGGCCACAUUGGGACUGAGAGACGGCCCAGACUCCUACGGGAGGCAGCAGUGGGGAAUAUUGCACAAUGGGCGGAAGCCUGAUGCAGCGACGCCGCGUGAGGGAUGACGGCCUUCGGGUUGUAAACCUCUUUCAGCAGGGACGAAGCGUAAGUGACGGUACCUGCAGAAGAAGCACCGGCUAACUACGUG